UACAUGUGGGGCAAGCGUUGUUCGGAAUUACUGGGCGUAAAGGGCGCGUAGGCGGCCACCUAAGUCAGACGUGAAAUCCCUCGGCUUAACCUGGGAACUGCGUCUGAUACUGGACGGCUUGAGUAUGGGAGAGGGAUGUAGAAUUCCAGGUGUAGCGGUGAAAUUCGUAGAUAUCAAGCGGAACACCGGUGGCGAAGGCGGCCUUCUGGACAAUGACUGACGCUAAAACACGAAAGCGUGGGGAGCAAACAGG
rnacentral:rRNA from 1 species